UCCUGGCUCAGGACGAACGCUGGCGGCGUGCCUAAUACAUGCAAGUAGAACGCUGAAGACUUUAGCUUGCUAAAGUUGGAAGAGUUGCGAACGGGUGAGUAACGCGUAGGUAACCUGCCUACUAGCGGGGGAUAACUAUUGGAAACGAUAGCUAAUACCGCAUAACAGCAUUUAACCCAUGUUAGAUGCUUGAAAGGAGCAAUUGCUUCACUAGUAGAUGGACCUGCGUUGUAUUAGCUAGUUGGUGAGGUAACGGCUCACCAAGGCGACGAUACAUAGCCGACCUGAGAGGGUGAUCGGCCACACUGGGACUGAGACACGGCCCAGACUCCUACGGGAGGCAGCAGUAGGGAAUCUUCGGCAAUGGGGGCAACCCUGACCGAGCAACGCCGCGUGAGUGAAGAAGGUUUUCGGAUCGUAAAGCUCUGUUGUAAGAGAAGAACGUGUGUGAGAGUGGAAAGUUCACACAGUGACGGUAACUUACCAGAAAGGGACGGCUAACUACGUG
rnacentral:rRNA from 1 species